CCUACGGGUGGCAGCAGUAGGGAAUAUUGCUCAAUGGGGGAAACCCUGAAGCAGCAACGCCGCGUGGAGGAUGAAGGUUUUCGGAUUGUAAACUCCUUUUGUUAGAGAAGAUAAUGACGGUAUCUAACGAAUAAGCACCGGCUAACUCCGUGCCAGCAGCCGCGGUAAUACGGAGGGCGCAAGCGUUACUCGGAAUCACUGGGCGUAAAGAGCGCGUAGGCGGGAUAGCAAGUCAGAUGUGAAAUCCUAUGGCUUAACCAUAGAACUGCAUUUGAUACUGGUAUUCUAGAGUAUGGGAGAGGUGGGUAGAAUUCUUGGUGUAGCGGUAAAAGGCGUAGAGAUCAAGAGGAAUACUCGUGGCGAAGGCGACCUGCUGGAACAUAACUGACGCUGAUGCGCGAAAGCGUGGGGAGCAAACAGGAUUAGAUACCCUGGUAGUC
rnacentral:rRNA from 1 species